rnacentral:rRNA from 1 species
AGGUCACAUAAAUCUCUUGUGAAAUUGCCAGGCUCAACCUGGCAGAGUGCAGGAGACACUGUGUGACUAGGGACCGGGAGGAGUCAGAAGUAUUCCUGAGGGAGCGGUAAAAUGCUAUAAUCUCAGGAGGACUGCCUAUGGCGAAAGCAUCUGGCUAGAACGGGUCCGACUGUGAGGGACAAAAGCUAGGGGAGCAAACCGGAUUAGAUACCCGGGUAGUCCUAGCCGUAAGCGCUGUGAGCUAGGCGUCGUGUAUUCCACGAGAAUAUGCGGUGUCAAAAGGAAGCUGAUAUGCUCACCGCCUGGGAA